rnacentral:rRNA from 1 species
AUUGAACGCUGGCGGCAGGCCUAACACAUGCAAGUCGAGCGGAUGAAGGGAGCUUGCUCCUGGAUUCAGCGGCGGACGGGUGAGUAAUGCCUAGGAAUCUGCCUGGUAGUGGGGGAUAACGUCCGGAAACGGGCGCUAAUACCGCAUACGUCCUGAGGGAGAAAGUGGGGGUUCUUCGGACCUCACGCUAUCAGAUGAGCCUAGGUCGGAUUAGCUAGUUGGUGGGGUAAAGGCCUACCAAGGCGACGAUCCGUAACUGGUCUGAGAGGAUGAUCAGUCACACUGGAACUGAGACACGGUCCAGACUCCUACGGGAGGCAGCAGUGGGGAAUAUUGGACAAAGGGCGAAAGCCUGAUACAGCCAUGCCGCGUGUGUGAAGAAGGUCUUCGGAUUGUAAAGCACUUUAAGUUGGGAGGAAGGGAAGUAAGUUAAUACCUUGCUGUUUUGACGUUACCAACAGAAUAAGCACCGGCUAACUUCGUG